CGUGUUUAGCGUGAAACGGAGGAACACUACAGGAAACGAGCCACGAAUCCUACUGAGUGCACAGAAACCAGACUGGCUGAGGUGGAGCGACGCUAAGUGAUUUGCCAAAUAUGGGGAGUUGCCUGCAACCUCUGCGGGGCUGACACAUUACUGGCAUAGCUGAGUUUAUCCUUCCAAAGGCACAUGGACUCUGAGCCACGCUAGGAAUCCCCGGGACACAAGAGGGAGCAAAGGUCGUGAUUCGGACUCAGCAUCAGCCGCUCGCUCAUCUGCAUUCGCACUGAGGGUCAGCGGCGCUCACCAGGGAGCUCAAGGAUAAGG